CCGGGCAGCUCAGGGGGAGAGCAGUGGAUUGAAGAUCCUCGCGUCGGUGGUUCGAUUCCGCCCCGACCCA
rnacentral:tRNA from 1 species